GUAGGUGGCAAGCGUUGUCCGGAAUUAUUGGGCGUAAAGCGCGCGCAGGCGGUUCUUUAAGUCUGAUGUGAAAGCCCACGGGCUCAACCGUGGAGGGUCAUUGGAAACUGGAGAACUUGAGUACAGAAGAGGAAAGCGGAAUUCCACGUGUAGCGGUGAAAUGCGUAGAGAUGUGGAGGAACACCAGUGGCGAAGGCGGCUUUCUGGUCUGUAACUGACGCUGAGGCGCGAAAGCGUGGGGAGCAAAUAGGAUUAGAUACCCUGGUAGUCCACGCCGUAAACGAUGAGUGCUAAGUGUUAGGGGGUUUCCGCCCCUUAGUGCUGCAGCUAACGCAUUAAGCACUCCGCCUGGGGAGUACGGCCGCAAGGCUG
rnacentral:rRNA from 1 species